GUUUUGCUUUGUUGGAAGACGUUCAAUUUGUGGCUGAUGUUAUGGGAAGUGUGGGACUGCAGAUAAAUCCGAGAAUGGUUGAGAUAUCCAAUUCAGUGUAUCUUGGUAGAAUCGUCUUUGAAAGUGAAAGUGACUGGAUUAUAUGGGCAGAUUUGGUGAAGAAGCUUAAAACAAUGGUUUAGGUGUUGAUGGCUAGACUGGAUGAAGUGGUUUUGCAGUUUGGAAGAGCAGCAGUUUGUUUUGAAUGAUGUUGUUGGGUUCUUUUGUUUUAAAUCUAUCAAGUUUAAUGUAAUGUUUGGAACCUUUUUUAUGUUAUAUUGAUAUUCUGUAUUUGAAUUUUAACAGAACAUGGUUUGAUAACCUUUUAUGUAAUUCCAAUAUCAUAGUUUUAUGAUUU